GAAAAAGACUUCGGCGUACUAUCGCUAGCGAUUUCAUCAAAUGCAUCAAAAAACUCCCCCAUCGGAGUACUCGGUUUCCACAACCGCUCAUUCCCACUGCUCUCAUUACUGACCGUGCUCAUCGAAUCCCGAAGAUCAAAGAAAUCAUCGCCCUCCGGGUUCCCCAACCCCUCCACUCCAGCUCCAGCAACCCCAUCCCUUGCAUCCUCU
rnacentral:misc_RNA from 1 species